rnacentral:rRNA from 1 species
UAGAAUUCCAGGUGUAGCGGUGAAAUGCGUAGAGAUCUGGAGGAAUACCGAUGGCGAAGGCAGCCAUCUGGCCUAAUACUGACCCUGAGGUGCGAAAGCAUGGGGAGCAAACAGGAUUAGAUACCCUGGUAGUCCAUGCCGUAAACGAUGUCUACUAGCCGUUGGGGCCUUUGAGGCUUUAGUGGCGUGGCUAACGCGAUAAGUAGACCGCCUGGGGAGUACGGUCGCAAGACUAAAACCCAAAUGAAUUGACGGGGGCCCGCACAAGCGGUGGAGCAUGUGGUUUAAUUCGAUGCAACGCGAAGAACCUUACCUGGCCUUGACAUAGUAAGAACUUUCCAAAAAUGGAUUGGUGCCUUCGGGAACUUACAUACAGGUGCUGCAUGGCUGUCGUCA